GACGAACGCUGGCGGCGUGGAUUAGGCAUGCAAGUCGAACGGUAUCAUCCUUUCGGGGGUGAGAGAGUGGCGAACUGGUGAGUAACACGUAGGUUAUCUACCCUCAAGACGGGGACAACCCAGGGAAACUUGGGCUAAUACCGGAUGCGAGCAACUUUUAGUUGUUUGAAAGGUGGCGUAAGCUGUCGCUUGGGGAUGAGCCUGCGUCCUAUUAGUUAGUUGGUGAGGUAACGGCUCACCUAGGCAAUGAUAGGUAGGCGGCCUUAACGGGUGGUCGCCCACACUGGGAUUGAGAUACGGCCCAGACUCCUACGGGAGGCAGCAGUCGAGAAUAGUCUACAAUGGUCGGAAGACUGAUAGUGCGACGCCGCGUGAACGAUGAAUCCCUUCGGGGUGUAAAGUUCUUUUAUAUGUGAGCAGUGCUUCUUAUAUUAACAGUAUGGGGAGAGAGAUAUUAGCAUAUGAAUAAGCAACGGCUAACUCCGUGCCAGCAGCCGCGGUAAACUCG
rnacentral:rRNA from 1 species